GACGAACGCUGGCGGCGUGCUUAACACAUGCAAGUCGAACGGAAAGGCCCUGCUUUUGUGGGGUGCUCGAGUGGCGAACGGGUGAGUAACACGUGAGUAACCUGCCCUUGACUUUGGGAUAACUUCAGGAAACUGGGGCUAAUACCGGAUAGGAGCUCCUGCUGCAUGGUGGGGGUUGGAAAGUUUCGGCGGUUGGGGAUGGACUCGCGGCUUAUCAGCUUGUUGGUGGGGUUGUGGCUUACCAAGGCUUUGACGGGUAGCCGGCCUGAGAGGGUGACCGGCCACAUUGGGCCUGAGAUACGGACCAGACUCCUACGGGAGGCAGCAGUGGGAAAUAUUACACAAUGGGCGCGAGCCUGAUGCAGCAACGCCGCGUGCGGGAUGACGGCCUUCGGGUUGUAAACCGCUUUCGCCUGUAACGAGGCGUGAGUGACGGUAAUGGGUAAGGAAGCACCGGCUAACUACGUG
rnacentral:rRNA from 1 species